ensembl:snoRNA U3 Small nucleolar RNA U3
AAAACUAUACUUUCAGGGGUGAUUUCUAUAGUUUGGUACUAGAGAGGUUUUUCUGAACGUGUAGAGCACCGAAAACUACGAGGAAGUAGUGUAGUGCGUUCUCCCGAGCGUGAAAUCGGCAUUUGGUGUUGCUUCAUCACAACUACCAUUUGCUAUUGAUGAUUUUUCUUACUGUUCUAUUUGAGAGUAAAGAGGAGAAAAUACUGUCUGAGUGGG